CGCUCGGCUCCCAAGCCUUCUCCCUCCACUCCGGCAAAAUCCAUGGAGCCUCAGCACGCGAGCACCCCUUCCAUCCCUAUUCCAGAUCUCGUCCAUAACCUCCCUGCGUGCUCGUCGUGGGAGCUGGCGGCCGCGCCCCUCAGCUCUCAGCCAUGGUGGUCGCCCAUGGUCGCGCCCUCGGCUCCCUCACGCCGUGCGCGUCGCGGUCUCCCAAGCUCGCAAUGGCUGCCGAACGAGUCUCUCCCAUCUCUGCUCGUCCUCUUCGAGCUUGGUCUCUACGUGCCGCGGCUUCCCAGCUCCUCCCAGCCGGCCGAGCUCCCUCGCCUUCAAUCCCCUGGUCGUCGCGCCCAUUUCCCCGCUCUCCCAUGGCGCCCGGUUGCUCUCCUCUCUCUUGUGCUCUCCCUGGUGCCCCAGCGUCGCGGCUUCCCCCCAGCUCCCUCUGCCCAUCCCCAACUCGGCCUCCCAACUCCCCGAGCUCGCCCCUGCGCUCGGAUUUUCCCUCUCGACCAUGGUGCUCUCCUCAGCCGCGACUUGCCGAGUUCCGCCCUUCUCCUCUCUCCCUGCUCGCCCAGGUUGGAUGGGGAUCCACCUGGUGGCGUUCGUGGCAGCGGGGGCUUCCUGCAGGUGUUUCAUGUGUCGGCGCUGCUGAUUGGAACCGUUGCCCAUCGGUCCAGUGAGUCGCCGUCGAUGGGGAUCCCCUGCGUAUUUCCCCCAACGAUCGCCGCUACCUCCUCGUCAUUCUCCUGUUCAUGGCGGACACUCAGACCUGGCUCCCACGCGCGUUCUCCCUGGUCUUCCCUGUGCGCAGCCGUGAGCUCUGGCGCGGUCGCGAUUUCGACGCGCCUUAGUUGGGGCCUGCUCACGUCGGUCAUCGUCUACAUCGUCGCCUGGCUGCAACACCGUGGUCGUUCUCCCUCGCGGCAUUGUUGUUUACCCCGCUAUUGAAGUUGUGCCUCAUGCGCUCCUCAUCUAAAAUGUCUAAGCCAAGUGAACAUCCUGUGUGACUCAAGUUCGGUUCAUCAAAAUUAUUCAGUCGAGGAGAGAUUCCAAGAGUUGUGGAUUGAAGAGAAAGUGAAGCUCAGUUCAAUGCUCGUCAAGUGUUCGAUCGAAGACUUCAAUCGGAGCUUGUCAUCGUUCUUGCAAAUAUUGAGUCGAUGUUGAUUAUGGUACGUUAAUUGAUCACGUGAUGCGGAAGAUGAGCCAAGUCGGCCACAAGAUGUCGCUACGCGUGAGCUUCUCCACAAGAUGAUGCUGAUGGACGGACC
rnacentral:misc_RNA from 1 species